rnacentral:rRNA from 1 species
UACGUAGGGGGCUAGCGUUGUCCGGAAUCAUUGGGCGUAAAGAGCGUGUAGGCGGUCCGGUAAGUCCGUUGUGAAAGUCAGGGGCUCAACCCUUGAAUGCCGGCGGAUACUGUCGGGCUAGAGUCCGGAAGAGGCAAGUGGAAUUCCCGGUGUAGCGGUGAAAUGCGCAGAUAUCGGGAGGAACACCUAUGGCGAAGGCAGCUUGCUGGGACGGCACUGACGCUGAUGCGCGAAAGCCAGGGGAGCGAACGGG